GAUGAGUAAUGUUUCCAGCACCUUUUUAAAUCUAUGCCACAAAUAAUUAUGGCAGUUCCGGAAGGCAAUAAUAAAGUGGCUGGUCAGUGUAUAUUCUGAAGUUUCUUACAGAAUGGUUUGUUCAUAUAUAGCCUAUUAUUCACCUGUUUUUUUUUUUUUUUUUUUUUAACAUUUUAUUCAUAAAAAUAUUGUGAUUUUUUUUUUUUUUUUUUUUAUUUAUUUAUUUAUUUUUCCUGGCUGUUGACAGUAUUUUCCGAUUUACGGACAGAUAAAAAAAAGAUAUCUUAAAUCUCCUCUGUAAAAACCUGGUUUCAUCCAAUACUCAAAUGUAUGCAAAUUUGUACAUAUUUAACUAAACCAAUGCCUCAUUUGUAUAUUUAAACAUAACAUAUUAGAAAAUAAGGAUGCGCGGUAAAUCGGUACUGGGAAAAUACCGGUAUAUAUAUUUUAUUUCAAAUUGUAUGAUAUCACGAUUUUGCUCAUUUUGGUACUUAUGCUGCUGUUCCGAAGUUCACCGCUAGGUGGCAGUGUGCUACCCAAACUGACACGAAACUGGCAAAUGUGACAACAUAGAGGAACAAAAUGGAUAAAGCAGUUGAAUCUCACUCAACACGCCCAAAACUAUUGAAUAAAGAAGCGAAAUUUGGAAUUAAUUUGCUUAUAAAACUGAUGAAGAUCCAUCAAACCUUGCCAAGCAUCUGUCACUUAAGUUACCCAUGCUGUCUUGUACGAGAUCGACAGACCUUGAAAGGUGCAGUGACGUUGCUGCCUAUGUGUGGUUCAGAUACCUCUCGGAUUUCAUCCAAAAUAUCUUAAUUUGUGUUCCGAAGAUGAACGAAGGUCUUACGGGUGUGGAACGACAUGAGGAAGCCCUGCUGUGAGUGAUCCUGAAGCAAGAGAAAACCUAGACACUCCGACAAUCAAAAGAUCCACUUCUCGCUCCAGGCAAAAUCACAAAACUCUCCACCACACUGCUCGCAUACUCUGUGGUCUUGAACACUCUACAGAGAAUAGGAGUGAUGCAAUUAUCAGUGCUACUGGGACACAGUUUGUCCAAUCAAAUCAGAGGAUUUGAAUUAUGUUGCAUAGCCUAAAUGUUGUAGAAAAAAGGGAUGUAUAUACACUCACAAACUGUCUUGUCCAUGUUACUGAACAAAUGUUUUCAAUUAAGUAAACUUAAAAUAAAAGA